rnacentral:rRNA from 1 species
AGAGUUUGAUCCUGGCUCAGGAUGAACGCUAGCUACAGGCUUAACACAUGCAAGUCGAGGGGCAGCGCGGGGUCUGCUUGCAGACCCUGGCGGCGACCGGCGGAUGGGUGAGUAACGCGUAUCCAACCUGCCCCUGUCCCGGGGACAGCCCUUAGAAAUGAGGAUUAACCCCCGAUGGCGCGGAUUUGCCGCAUGACUUAUCCGCCAAAUGUGAAGGACAGGGAUGGGGAUGCGUUCCAUUAGGUUGCAGGCGGGUAACGGCCCACCUGGCCGACGAUGGAUAGGGGUUCUGAGAGGAAGGUCCCCCACAUUGGAACUGAGACACGGUCCAAACUCCUACGGGAGGCAGCAGUGAGGAAUAUUGGUCAAUGGGCGAGAGCCUGAACCAGCCAAGUAGCGUGCAGGACGACGGCCCUAUGGGUUGUAAACUGCUUUUAUGCGGGGAUAAAGUUCGGGACGUGUCCCGUUUUGCAGGUACCGCAUGAAUAAGGACCGGCUAAUUCCGUGCC